CUCGGGAGAAGGUUAGGUCUACCAGGCGUUGGUUGUCCUGGGGAAAGGCGGUAGGCAUGAUUCUUAGGCAAAUCCGGGAAUCUCUAUGCCGAGCACCGAGACGAGUCCUAUGAGGACGAAGUGACUGACACCAUGCUUCCAGGAAAAGCCACUAAGCUUCAGCUGUAGAAAAACCGUACCGCAAACCGACACAGGUAGGCAGGGUGAGAAUCCCAAGGCGCUUGAGAGAACUCGGGUGAAGGAACUAGGCAAAAUGGCACCGUAACUUCGGGAGAAGGUGCGCCUCUUGGUGUGGUCACGUGCGUGACUGAGCAUCGAGGGGUCGCAGUAACCUGGCCGCUGCGACUGUUUAUCAAAAACACAGCACUCUGCAAACACGAAAGUGGACGUAUAGGGUGUGACGCCUGCCCGGUGCUGGAAGGUUAAUUGAUGGGGUCAGUCGCAAGGCGAAGCUCUUGAUCGAAGCCCCAGUAAACGGCGGCCGUAACUAUAACGGUCCUAAGGUAGCGAAAUUCCUUGUCGGGUAAGUUCCGACCUGCACGAAUGGCGUAACGACAGCGGCGCUGUCUCCACCCGAGACUCAGUGAAAUUGAAAUCGCUGUGAAGAUGCAGCGUUCCCGCGGCAAGACGGAAAGACCCCGUGAACCUUUACUAUAGCUUUACACUGAACGUUGAGUUCUUCUGUGUAGGAUAGGUGGGAGGCUAUGAAACCAGGACGCUAGUUCUGGUGUAGCCAUCCUUGAAAUACCACCCUGAAGUGCUUGACGUUCUAACCUAGGUCCGUAAUCCGGAUCGGGGACCGUGUAUGGUGGGUAGUUUGACUGGGGCGGUCUCCUCCCAAAGAGUAACGGAGGAGCACGAAGGUACGCUCAGCGCGGUCGGACAUCGCGCACUGUGUGCAAAGGCAUAAGCGUGCUUGACUGCGAGAUCGACGGAUCAAGCAGGUACGAAAGUAGGUCUUAGUGAUCCGGUGGUUCUGUAUGGAAGGGCCAUCGCUCAACGGAUAAAAGGUACUCCGGGGAUAACAGGCUGAUACCGCCCAAGAGUUCAUAUCGACGGCGGUGUUUGGCACCUCGAUGUCGGCUCAUCACAUCCUGGGGCUGUAGCCGGUCCCAAGGGUAUGGCUGUUCGCCAUUUAAAGUGGUACGCGAGCUGGGUUCAGAACGUCGUGAGACAGUUCGGUCCCUAUCUGUCGUGGGCGUUGGAGAUUUGAGGGGGGCUGCUCCUAGUACGAGAGGACCGGAGUGGACGUUCCGCUGGUGUUCGGGUUGUCAUGCCCAUGGCAUUGCCCGGUAGCUACGAACGGAAGUGAUAACCGCUGAAAGCAUCUAAGCGGGAAGCACGCCCCAAGAUGAGAUCUCCCGAGAGCUUGACUCUCCUAAAGGCACCAUCAAGACUAGGUGGUUGAUAGGCACGGUGUGGAAGUGCAGCAAUGCAUUGAGCUUACGUGUACUAAUGAGCCGUGAGGCUUGACC
rnacentral:rRNA from 1 species